AACGUAGGGGGCGAGCGUUGUCCGGAAUUACUGGGCGUAAAGGGCGCGUAGGCGGUUUCUUAAGUCUCAAGGUGAAAACUAUCGGCUCAACCGGUAGCGUGCCUGAGAAACUGGGGGACUUGAGGGCAGGAGAGGGGAGUGGAAUUCCCAGUGUAGCGGUGAAAUGCGUAGAUAUUGGGAGGAACACCAGUGGCGAAGGCGGCUCUCUGGCCUGUUGCUGACGCUGAGGCGCGAAAGCGUGGGGAGCGAACGGGAUUAGAUACCCCGGUAGUCCACGCCGUAAACGAUGGGUGCUAGGUGUAGGAGGUAUCGACCCCUUCUGUGCCGUAGUUAACACAAUAAGCACCCCGCCUGGGGAGUACGGCCGCAAGGUUGAA
rnacentral:rRNA from 1 species